rnacentral:ncRNA from 1 species
UAUAGGCAGUGGCUUUGUUAAGGGAAUAGAACCCACCGGAGCCAUAGCGGAAGCGAGUCUUCAUAGGGCGAUUGUCACUGCUUAUGGACCCGAACCUGGGUGAUCUAUCCAUGACCAGGAUGAAGCUUGGAUGAAACUAAGCAGAGGUCCGAACCGACUGAUGUUGAAGAAUCAACGGAUGAGUUGUGGUUAAGAUACCGGUAUCUUACGGUACUAAAUCGUUUCCGACCGUUGAAUCUAGCUGG